rnacentral:rRNA from 1 species
UAGGGAAUCUUCGGCAAUGGACGAAAGUCUGACCGAGCAACGCCGCGUGAGUGAAGAAGGUUUUCGGAUCGUAAAACUCUGUUGUUAGAGAAGAACAAGGACGUUAGUAACUGAACGUCCCCUGACGGUAUCUAACCAGAAAGCCACGGCUAACUACGUGCCAGCAGCCGCGGUAAUACGUAGGUGGCAAGCGUUGUCCGGAUUUAUUGGGCGUAAAGCGAGCGCAGGCGGUUUCUUAAGUCUGAUGUGAAAGCCCCCGGCUCAACCGGGGAGGGUCAUUGGAAACUGGGAGACUUGAGUGCAGAAGAGGAGAGUGGAGUUCCAUGUGUAGCGGUGAAAUGCGUAGAUAUAUGGAGGAACACCAGUGGCGAAGGCGGCGCUCUGGUCUGUAACUGACGCUGAGGCUCGAAAGCGUGGGGAGCAAACAGG